rnacentral:rRNA from 1 species
UAACUAGGAAUUCCUAGUAAGCGCGAGUCAUCAACUCGUGCUGAUUACGUCCCUGCAAAAUGUACACACCGCCCGUCGCUUUUACCGAUUGAGUGCUCAGGUGAAUCUUCUUGAUAGUGAAAACUAAAUAUUAAAUAAACCUUAGCACUUAGAGGAAAAAGAAGUCGUAACAAGGUUUCCGUAGGUGAACCUGCGGAAGGAUC